CCCAGAUAAUAGCACUCUCAA
rnacentral:miRNA from 1 species